rfam:Sulfurovum sp. AR contig00449, whole genome shotgun sequence.
GUAGUCUCUUAGUGUGUGGAUGUUUUCGUUUGAGCUUGACUUGGUCAGCGAGGGAUCAUCCCCUAAAGAGAGACUCUCUCCUACACCGUUGGCUAUAUAGGGCCGACUUGACACAGAACGCUCGCCCGGGU